ACUUACUGCGGCUACCUUGCAAGUUCAAGCGGAUGAAGGGAGCUUGCUUCCUGGUUUAGCGGCGGACGGGUGAGUAAUGCCUAGGAAUCUGCCUGGUAGUGGGGGAAACGUCCGGAAACGGGCGCUAAUACCGCAUACGUCCUGAGGGAGAAAGUGGGGGAUCUUCGGACCUCACGCUAUCAGAUGAGCCUAGGUCGGAUUAGCUAGUUGGUGGGGUAAAGGCCUACCAAGGCGACGAUCCGUAACUGGUCUGAGAGGAUGAUCAGUCACACUGGAACUGAGACACGGUCCAGACUCCUACGGGAGGCAGCAGUGGGGAAUAUUGGACAAUGGGCGAAAGCCUGAUCCAGCCAUGCCGCGUGUGUGAAGAAGGUCUUCGGAUUGUAAAGCACUUUAAGUUGGGAGGAAGGGCAGUAAGUUAAUACCUUGCUGUUUUGACGUUACCAACAGAAUAAGCACCGGCUAACUUCGUGCCAGACCG
rnacentral:rRNA from 1 species